CAUGUAGGCGGAUUAAUAAGUUUGAAGUGAAAUCCUAUAGCUUAACUAUAGAACUGCUUUGAAAACUGUUAAUCUAGAAUGUGGGAGAGGUAGAUGGAAUUUCUGGUAUAGGGUAAAAUCCGUAGAGAUCAGAAGGAAUACCGAUUGCGAAGGCGAUCUACUGGAACAUUAUUGACGCUGAGAUGCGAAAGCGUGGGGAGCAAACA
rnacentral:rRNA from 1 species